AUUCAUCCCGAAAUGUUUCCUUGCCUUGCUGUAGCUGCUGAAGAGCAUGGCUGGAGUGUAGCAACACAAAGACAGGAUUAGAAGAAAAUAAGGAAAAUAACCUCUGAAACUGGGAGUCAGGCUGCUGCAGGAAACUGGGAGGGCCUUGGCAUGGCUCUGCUUGGCUGGCAUCGGCAUUUCCAGGAAAGGAAUUUUGAACAAAGGGACCUCAAAAGACACCUGGGCUGAUCUCUCACCAAUCAUGGAGCUCAUGAAGGCACUUUCUUCUCCUCCCCUCUUUCACCGGGGUAUUCUCCAUUGAAGCUCUAUGGAUGCCCCAUAGAUUCAGACAGAUGGAAAGAAAUAGCCUUUUUCAUCCGUGAAAUGAAGGAAAAGCAGUCAGCAGUGAGAGCUCAGUGAAGUACUGCAAGGACAGCUGUGGGGAUGCAUUCAUGGGUCAGAUUUUCCAACUCACCUCUGUCACUUUGGAGAGUUCAUUUCUUUUCUACUCUUCCUCCUUCUGCCUUCCAUAGGUUCUAAUUUUAACAGAGAUUGAGCACGAGAAAGGGAGGAAAGGGGAAAGGGCAAAAAGCCAGUGGGGGUGCAGAGGUUAAUUUUGUAAUGAAUUUGGCUAAUGGGAAAGAUACCUUUGAGAAGAUCACUCGAUGGCAAUUUAAAGGCAAUUUCAAAAGCCAAUUAAAGCGUUUUCAAACUCUUCCACCUGUGACUCUUUAAAAUGCUUUUCUGAGCUCUGCUUGCUUGAGUUUGGCUUCUGUGGCAGGAAAACAGACUAAAACCAGAGAUGUCUCCUGCAAAGCAAGUUUGGCGUCAUUGCUGCCUGCUCUAUUUCACUGCAGCCACGGCACCUCCAGCAACCCGCUCCCACAAGGACCUUGCCAAAACAACUAACUAAAUAAAAUUUGCUGCAAAAGCAAUGAAGAACAGAGGGGAAGCCGCCUCCUUUCACAGCCUCUCUAUGUUCUGGUUAUAAAAGUGAGUGAAGUCUUAAAAACUGGGCUCUGAUGAGUCGAGUCCCCCCAAAAACCUGCUGGCUUGGGGUCCUU
rnacentral:lncRNA from 7 species